AUUGAACGCUGCGGCAGGCCUAACACAUGCAAGUCGAGCGGAUGAAGGGAGCUUGCUCCUGGAUUCGGCGGCGGACGGGUGAGUAAUGCCUCGGAAUCUGCCUGGUAGUGGGGGAUAACGUCCGGAAACGGGCGCUAAUACCGCAUACGUCCUGAGGGAGAAAGUGGGGGAUCUUCGGACCUCACGCUAUCAGAUGAGCCUAGGUCGGAUUAGCUAGUUGGUGGGGUAAAGGCCUACCAAGGCGACGAUCCGUAACUGGUCUGAGAGGAUGAUCAGUCACACUGGAACUGAGACACGGUCCAGACUCCUACGGGAGGCAGCAGUGGGGAAUAUUGGACAAUGGGCGAAAGCCUGAUCCAGCCAUGCCGCGUGUGUGAAGAAGGUCUUCGGAUUGUAAAGCACUUUAAGUUGGGAGGAAGGGCAGUAAGUUAAUACCUUGCUGUUUUGACGUUACCAACAGAAUAAGCACCGGCUAACUUCGUG
rnacentral:rRNA from 1 species